GGAGGGUGCGAGCGUUGUUCGGAAUUACUGGGCGUAAAGCGCGUGUAGGCGGUUCGCUAAGUCUGAUGUGAAAUCCCGAGGCUCACCCUCGGAAGUGCAAUGGAUACUGGUGAGCUAGAGUCCCGGAGAGGAGGGUGGAAUUCCUGGUGUAGCGGUGAAAUGCGUAGAUAUCAGGAGGAACACCGGCGGCGAAGGCGGCCCUCUGGACGGUGACUGACGCUGAGACGCGAAAGCGUGGGGAGCAAACAGGAUUAGAUACCCUGGUAGUCCACGCCGUAAACGAUGAGCACUAGGUGUCGCGGGUAUUGACCCCCCCCCUGCGGUGCCGACGCUAACGCAUUAAGUGCUCCGCCUGGGAGUACGGUCGCAAGAUUA
rnacentral:rRNA from 1 species